rnacentral:rRNA from 1 species
AUGGGGAAGAAGCCGGGCAGCGCUGGCCCUUCCUCGGCAUCCAGGCCCAUGAACCAGGCCCUGUCGCUCCGCGAGGAGACCUCCGGAAAGACGCCGGCCGGCACGCCCUCCCUGCUGAGGGUCCAGCACCUGCAGCGGCUGGGGGCGUGGGCAAGCGGUGAGGCGGGAGUUGGCUCGAUCGGAGCGCUGCUGGGCCGCCGCUUCGCCACGGACGCCGAGGCGGCCGGGAUCCCCGUAGGUGCUUCCACCUUCCUUUGCCAGAGGUGUGAAUCAAUCUUACAGCCAGGCUUCAACUGCACAAUCCGCAUAAAGAACAACAAAAAGAAAGCAAAACGGCGCAAGAAGUCAAAUCCUGGCCAAAAUAGUGUUGUCUAUGCAUGCCAUUUCUGUGGAGACCAAAACCUGAUACGGGGUAGUGGAAAGGGUAUCGUGAAGGUACUGUUAUCAUCAAGAAAGCCUGUUAGCACAAUGUUGAAAGCAGAACAUAUGAACGCGCCAACAGUAACUACUAAAAAGGGGAUCGAGCAUUCUGUGACAGCAGCCUCGCAACUGGAAUCAUCCAGGUUGAGAAUAUCCACUCUUGAAAAGGACAAAGGCAUCCUGCAGAAAAUCGAAGUAGAAAGCGCACGUGAUAAAUGUGUGAAUGGAAUUGAGCCCGCGGCUUCUAAAAAUACUAGUACAUGCGAACAUGAUGUCACUUCUCAAGCAGAAUUUCUAGCUGGGUCAAACUUUGUUACUCCUCAGAAGAACAAACUGGCGGAAGUGGCCGCGCCUAUAGCUUCAGUAGAAGCAUUGAAGACUAGAAGUACACCGAACAGCAAAGCGCAGAAUUAUGGUUCAGUUGCUGGCAAGGCCCCUGGAAGUUAUAGCAAGUCAGCUUCGAAUACCAAAUCUGCGCCAGGUGAUUCUACUCAGCCGGCUGGCAGUUCAAGGAAGCGGGCAAGAAAAGGGUGGACUACGCUGAAGCAGAUCGCUGAGAAGGACGAGCUUGAGAGAAAAGAGAAGAUGGAUAACUUUGUAAUCCCGUUCUUCAUGGAGUAG